rnacentral:RNase_P_RNA from 1 species
UGAGCUGGCCGGGCGGCCGCGAGGACCGGGUGACCGGUCCCCGAGGAAGGUCCGGGCUCCACAGGGCAAGGUGGUGGGUAACGCCCACCCGGGGUGACCCGCGGGACAGUGCCACAGAGAACAGACCGCCUCCCCGGUCCGGUUCGCCGGUCGGGGCGGGCAGGGCGAAACGGUGGUGCAAGAGACCACCAGCGCACCGGGCGACCGGUGCGGCUAGGUAAACCCCACCCGGAGCAAGGCCAGACAGGGAGCGUUCGAGGGCUGCCCGCCCGAGCUCCCGGGUAGGCCGCUGGAGCGGCGCGGCAACGCGUCGCCGAGAGAGAUGACCGUCGAAGGGAUGCCCCGAGAGGGGCCCCGGCACAGAACCCGGCGUACAGGCCGGCCCGUUCC